rnacentral:rRNA from 1 species
UAGGGAAUCUUCCGCAAUGGGCGAAAGCCUGACGGAGCAACGCCGCGUGAGUGAUGAAGGUCUUCGGAUCGUAAAACUCUGUUAUUAGGGAAGAACAAAUGUGUAAGUAACUAUGCACGUCUUGACGGUACCUAAUCAGAAAGCCACGGCUAACUACGUGCCAGCAGCCGCGGUAAUACGUAGGUGGCAAGCGUUAUCCGGAAUUAUUGGGCGUAAAGCGCGCGUAGGCGGUUUUUUAAGUCUGAUGUGAAAGCCCACGGCUCAACCGUGGAGGGUCAUUGGAAACUGGAAAACUUGAGUGCAGAAGAGGAAAGUGGAAUUCCAUGUGUAACGGUGAAAUGCGCAGAGAUAUGGAGGAACACCAGUGGCGAAGGCGACUUUCUGGUCUGUAACUGACGCUGAUGUGCGAAAGCGUGGGAAUCAAACAGG